rnacentral:lncRNA from 1 species
CUUGUGUGUCAUGAUCCGUGGGAGCAGCUGAGGGGUUUUCAUUUGUUAUCAGGAUGGGUCCCUGGCUACUUGCCCGGGCGGAGUCUCUGCAUCACACCUGAGCUCCAUCUGCUGUCAAUUACAGGAGGACUACUUAAGCCAGCACUGCCUGCUACUUGUCUCCAGUUCAUUCUGCCACCCACAGUGGUAGCUAGGCCACAUCUGCACUCCACUCUUACCGCUCCCUUUCUUCGUGCUAAACUCUGUUUCCUUGUGUACAGAUCUCCACACUAUCCCAUCUUGGACGCAUCGCCUGUGAAACCCUCUCCAAAGCUUUUCAGUCUGGACCUGCACCACACCUGCGGUUCCAAUUGUGACCUCAACGGACAGCCUUCCCCAUGGCCAUCCCCCUUUCCACUGACUCCUGUUCACUCUUGUUUGCCUUUGUUUUGAUCUCCUUCAUUCUGUAAAUAAAGUCUUGUCAAUAGUUCUCAGUAAGUGAAUUGAGUCUGCUUUUGGGUCCAGCUCUUGUGAGAACCUCGGUUCAUGACAUUGUGGCCCUGUCCUGGUGUUUGGUAUGCUGUGCAACCUGGGUGCCCUGUCUUUGUUUUUUUUUGGUUUUUUUCCAACAUUCCCAGUUGAGAUUUUGGACGACUGCACGGGAACAUGUUUGUGGUGGGUAAAAAUCCUUCUCCAUCCAAAUGGAAAUGCGCACACGGACGGACUAGUCUGUCAAACUCAUGGAUGAGUCCAACAACAGCAACCUGAUGAGCCUCCUGAUGGGGAAAGAUGAGGCAGGGAGGCUCUGUGCUAACUGGUUAGCUUUCAGAAUAAGAGUGUUGGAAUUGGGCUGAUGGUAAACUGAUCCCAGGAAAAAAAUAAAAUCACAAAAUAUACUUAAUGUGCAUGUGUCAGUAAAUAUUAGGCUAAAGUGAUGCGGGGGUGUCUAGCUCAGGUACACAGAGCAGAGCAGAAACUGAUUUAAUUUACGUUCAUGACUUCUGGUCAUGUUCACUGAUGCAGUCAUGAAUUAUAUAAAUGUAUUAACCAUUUAGGUUGAUUGCACAGCAGACUGACAGAUGCAAAGUUCCCGACUUACUUAAAAGUGAUCCAUCAUGUUAUAUUUCACCUUUUUGUGUUUCUAUUUGGCUUUUCAGUGUGUAGCGCUUUACUCGCUGUAUAAUAGUCAAUCUGGCCUUCUGAGGAAAAAUGCUGCCCACCGCUGAACUGGAGCCACU